rnacentral:SRP_RNA from 1 species
CCGCGCUAGAUGGGGAGCUCGCCGUGCCCUGUAACUCGCAAUCGGCGUAGCGGGGUUGAAUUCCUAUCUGAGGUCUAGAUUGUGUGAGGUCUGGUCUCUGUCGAAAGUGUUGACGAUUGGGUCCCGCGCAACGAAUACUUCUGAACCGUGUCAGGUCCUGACGGAAGCAGCACUAAGGAAGAGCAUUCGUGUGCCGUGGGAGUGCCUGAUUUGAGCUGGAGCCAGAGAGUCCGCUUGGGCGAUUUAGAUCAAAGGUAGGUGCGCGG